AUUGGCCUGCUCAGGAGUAUUUUUCUUCCUGCGAUUUUCAGUAAUAUUUCCAAACGUUUACACUCAUUUGGAGUUUUGUUGGUGAAUUAGUGUUGUGAAGGACACGUCACGUGACAUAAUUACUGUCACCACCCACUUAUUCACAAUGAUGCUCAUAGUGAUUGGAUAAAGCUAGUGAACAUAGAUUAAAUAACAAAUGGAUGGAUACAACUAUCAAUGCAAUAUCUUGUUUGCAUGGCAAAAGUGAGUUAUUGACAUCACAAGAAGAAAUGGGAUAAAAACUUAUUGUAACCAGAACAGAAAACAACGGAGUCAACAACGAUGAAAACAACAAAAAACGACAGACAUUUUCCCCUCAUACACAUUUACCCUUACUUACGAUGAUAUGUAUAAGAUAAAAAUAACGACCAAAAAGACAAUGACAAUUUGUUGUCACCUUCAGCAGGAUUUGCAACUUUACCCCCCCCCCUUUUGUCUGGUGCAAAAUCUUUGAUAAAUGUCAAACUCCGAUGUUUAAGCAGGAACCUUCAGACAAUGAUCAUCACAAC